rfam:Triticum aestivum genome assembly, contig: Triticum_aestivum_CS42_TGACv1_scaffold_222744_3B
AUAAUACUCCCUUCGUGCGGAAAUACUUGUUGGAGGAAUGGACGUAUCUAGACGUAUUUUAGUGCUAGAUACAUUCAUUUUUAGUCAUUUCUACGACAAGUAUUUCCGGGUGGAGGGAGUAGCAU